rnacentral:rRNA from 1 species
GACGAACGCUGGCGGCGUGCUUAACACAUGCAAGUCGAACGCUGAAGACCUGGCUUUUGUUGGGUUGGAUGAGUGGCGAACGGGUGAGUAACACGUGAGUAACCUGCCCUCUUCUUUGGGAUAACGCCCGGAAACGGGUGCUAAUACUGGAUAUUCACUGAUCUUCGCAUGGGGGUUGGUGGAAAGGUUUGUUCUGGUGGGGGAUGGGCUCGCGGCCUAUCAGCUUGUUGGUGGGGUGAUGGCCUACCAAGGCUUUGACGGGUAGCCGGCCUGAGAGGGUGACCGGUCACAUUGGGACUGAGAGACGGCCCAGACUCCUACGGGAGGCAGCAGUGGGGAAUAUUGCACAAUGGGCGAAAGCCUGAUGCAGCGACGCCGCGUGAGGGAUGGAGGCCUUCGGGUUGUAAACCUCUUUCGCGCAGGGUCAAGCCGCAACUGUGGGUUGUGGUGAGGGUAGUGGGUAAAGAAGCGCCGGCUAACUACGUG